rnacentral:tRNA from 1 species
UGCGCGGUGGGACAGUCGGUCAGUCCGUCGGGCUCAUAACCCGGAAGUCGCAGGUUCGAAUCCUGCCCGCGCAACCA